rnacentral:lncRNA from 1 species
CACAAGUACCGCUUUCAAUCUAUCUAACCCAGAAUCUAGAUAUCAUCAGAUUAGUAUACCUCCCCACCCAUCAGAUUAUUCACCUCCUUCAUUAACUUCCAAAAUUUGCAUGAAGAAUUUUUUUCAAACAGAAAGCCAAGCCAACUUCUCUCAACUACAAGCAAGAUUGCUCAAAAACCCAAUGAAUCAUUUUUUACAUGACAACCCACUUCCCUGAUUCUAUGGUAAAUGAAAAACAAACUUCGGUGCUAUUUUUGCUGAAAUGACUCAUCAACAAUUAAAGGACAUCAAAUGAUUUCUGCAUGAGCACUAUCAUCUUCUAAUGGGAAACAUUUCUCCCCAGAAAUUUCAAUCCCUAAAACUCAUAUUUGGCAGACCCCAUCGGAUUUCACCUCUUUGACUAACUUCAAAAUUUGUGUCCACGAUUUUCUUUCACAAAGAAAGCCAAGUCAACGUCUAUCAACUGCAAGCGCAACACGACGAAUCAUUGUGAGAAAAUGUCACAUCUAACUACAUAUUCGAAAGCGAUUAAGGUCGGUGCAAGACUAUAAUAAACCUCAGCUCACAAUACCAAUUUUUUUUUUUUCCAGAAAUCAAAUCCAAGAUGGAUGCCUCUCAGCCUGGGGGACUCUGGAGUAAUGCGGUCAGUGAGAGAUCAAUGCACUCUUAAUUUACUGAAAUUAAUUCAUUUCUAACAGGCUGCCACCACAACUAACAAGUAAUUUUAGUAAAUUUUAGCCAGAUUCAUUGUGAAGUUAACAUAAAAGUUAAUUUGCUAGAUGCAGUUCCACAAUCAUGAAGAAAUAUAUAGAAUAAACAUUGCAUAUUCUAACAAAACAAGCAUAAGUCCUCCUAUAAACCUCAACUCAAUAGAAUCAUUAGUCAACAUUAGCUCCUGAAAAGAAUUAAAAACAAUUUAGCAGUCUGAAUUUUGGGUUCAGAAAAAAAACUGCCUGGUGCAUAAUUAAAGCCAAGAAGUUCCACUUCCACAAAAAUUAACUUAUUCCACAAAAUAGAUGUAAACAAACAAGACAGGCAAAGUGAUCGCCUUGUCAUUCAAGUUAGUUAUUAACAACUACAUUGAUUGAUGGAGAAUAGUAAUCCGGGACCUAGGACCACUUGCUCAGUUAAGAAAAGAAAAUCAUCACCUGUGGCAAUCGAAGAGGCCAGGUUCUGAGAAAAAUCACAGCAGAAUGACAUCGAUUUAACUCAAAAACAUCCAUAAGACUGAAUUAAGAUGCUUCAAGGACUUAGUAGUCUAACAAAGUCAAUCUUUCUUUCCUGGCCAUCUUUUUUCUAUACAUUGACGGUUUCAUUUCACAACACCUAGUAAGAUGACAACAUCAAAAAUACAACACUAACUCCAAAACUACGUUGCCAUAACAAAAUUAUACCAUCAUUAUUCAGAUUACUAGAAAGAAAAGGAGGAAGCCCACAAACCAAAAAUGCUAAAACCAAUUCAUGCACAACAUUGAGAACUCACAAAAACUCUGUUUGCAGCUUGAGAAUUGCGGAGUAAAUUUUCCUCCUUGAACCAACAGCAUUGAUCCCCAUGCCUUUGAGAUCCUCCAGAGUUAACAUCGGCAGGACCACAUUAUCUACCUCAUGUAUCUGAAAAACUGGAGCGUAUCUUCCCAAUCCCAAGCCAACUAACCAGUCUCUCACCCCGUUGCUUGCUUCAUUAUGCUGAUCCUGCGAAUUGGCCUCGUUCUGAGUUAUUCCAUUGCUCUCCGAAACCCGGGUCCUACAUCCUUUCCUUUGUCUAUCCCAAAACUGCAAACCCAUAUUAUCUACUGAAUUAACCGGGCUCUGGUCUUUUAAUAAAGGACUCUCCGAACCCUCGGGCUCCAAAUCUUUAAACUCUCCGUUAUUAUUCUCGUUUUCUUCUUGAAAAGCAUUUGCGCUGUCAAUUACGCCUCCACCACAGCUGCCACUGACUCCAUUACUAAGUAUUGAGUCGAAUUUAUUCCAAUUGGUGCGAACCCGCUUGAUAGGCUUCUUGUUCUUGGACUUUCUGUGGAUGAAGUCCGCUGCCGCAGCAUAAUUCUCAGCGGGCUCAAAAGUAUUCCGGUAAUUUGAGUCCGUACCAUUGACAAGGUUGGUAAGGGGCCGAGUUUUGGAGGUCUUGGCGGCGAGGGAAGGGUCCUUGUGGAAGCGCCAGGUUUUGUUGGGGCGGCGAAGGUGGUGGUUGUUGGAAUCGUAAGGUGGGUCUCCACCGAUCUCGCCCAGGCGGACGCUGGGGCGCCGCUGGCGUUUGGGGGCCAGGCUAGGGCCCAGGUUGAUGUUGGCAACGUUGGUAGAUGAAGUUGGUAUAGUCGUUGUAGGAUGUUCGAUUGGAGGUCGGUCUGGAAAUGUCACCGCCGUGGUUGGUGGGUCGGAAGAAAUUAGGCCGUCCGGCGGCUGUAGCUCCGUCGCCAUCCCUUGUAGUGAAUGCAAGUGUAUCGGGGCUGAGAUGAAAGGAAAUAGGACGGUGGGCUUGUAUGUUCCAUCUCAAUUAUACAAGGCAAAAUUCACAAGCAUCACCCGUUUCAGCGAGAACAAAG